GACGAACGCUGGCGGCGUGCCUAAUACAUGCAAGUUGAGCGAUGAAGAUUGGUGCUUGCACCAAUUUGAAGAGCAGCGAACGGGUGAGUAACGCGUGGGGAAUCUGCCUUUGAGCGGGGGACAACAUUUGGAAACGAAUGCUAAUACCGCAUAAUAACUUUAAACAUAAGUUUUAAGUUUGAAAGAUGCAAUUGCAUCACUCAAAGAUGAUCCCGCGUUGUAUUAGCUAGUUGGUGAGGUAAAGGCUCACCAAGGCGAUGAUACAUAGCCGACCUGAGAGGGUGAUCGGCCACAUUGGGACUGAGACACGGCCCAAACUCCUACGGGAGGCAGCAGGAGGGAAUCUUCGGCAAUGGACGAAAGUCUGACCGAGCAACGCCGCGUGAGUGAAGAAGGGUGUCGGAUCGUAAAACUCUGUUGGUAGAGAAGAACGUUGGUGAGAGUGGAAAGCUCAUCAAGUGACGGUAACUACCCAGAAAGGGACGGCCAACUACGUG
rnacentral:rRNA from 1 species